AGAAAUCUCACCAGGCCCGGACACUGGAAGGAUUGACAGAUUGAUAGCUCUUCCUUGAUUCGGUGGGUGGUGGUGCAUGGCCGUUCUUAGUUGGUUGAGUGAUUUGUCUGGUUAAUUCCGUUAACGAACGAGACCUUAACCUGCUAAAUAGUGACGCGGUUCAUCGAACCGUGGGCCACUUCUUAGAGGGACUAUCGGAUUCAAACCGAUGGAAGUGUGAGGCAAUAA
rnacentral:rRNA from 1 species